AAGCUCCAGAGGGAAGAGUCCAAAGGUGGGGAAGGUGGGGAAGCAGCAUGGCAGUGUGGCUGGAGCAGGAAGCUGAGAGUUCUCAUCCUAAAGUGGGAAGCAGGUUAUGAACAGGUUAAGAACAUUAAGUGGGAUUUGGUGUUUUGAAUGAACAUGGCCUCCAUAGGCUUGUGUUUGAGUAUCUGGUCCCCUUGGUCCCUAGAAAUUUGAGAAGGGUGAGGACAUGUCACAUUGAUGGAAAAGGUGAGUUACUAGGGGUGGGCUUUAAGGUUUGUUUGGCUUAAUUUUUACUUAUUUUAUGUGAGUACACUGUAGCUGUCUUCAGACACACCAGAAGAGGGCAUCAGAUCUCAUUACAGAUGGUUGUGAGCCACCAUGUGGUUGCUGGGAAUUGAACUCAGGACCUCUGGAAGAGCAGUCAGUGCUCUGAACCACUGAGCCACCUCUCCAGGUUUCAAAAGCCACACUAUUCCUAGUUAGUUCUCUCUGCUUGUGGAUGAGGUUAAGUGCUCAGCUACUGCCCCACCUUGCCUGCCUGCCUGCUGCCUUGCUCGUCACCACUACAGUCAUAGACUCUAACCCUUUUUAAUUGUGAGCUCCAAAUUAAACGUUUUCUUUUAUAAGUUUCCUUUGUCAUAGUGUUUUGUCAUAGCAAUUGAAUAAAAAAAUAACUAAAAUAAGGGGGAAAACUAUAAACUCAUCAGAGCCCCCAGGAGUAUUCCUCCUGCAAAUCUUCCCCCUCCAAAGGUCCCACAACCUCCCCCAAAAGCACCAACUGGAGCCCAGGGUGCAAAUCUCUCAGUCGUCAGGAAAUGUACGUCCUUCAGGCCACCACUGUGGGCUUCCUGACUUUCUCCGGAGUUCCCCCUCUCACUAUGCUUGUCCACCACGUGACUGAUUGACCACCAUCUUAGCUUAACGUUUUCUCCUCAGGGCGGCCGCUGAGACUUACACUUUGUCCACCCUGGAGCUUUCCUUUUAAACCCUGAAGAAAUUGUUCUUGGGGAGGCGGAAAUAUCGUUUAGGGUAGAACCAGGGGAAAUAAACCUUAAAUGCAUUGAGUGUAAAUGUGGCGGUUCUGAAGAGAAAGGUAAGGAACACUACAGAGUAGGGCUGCAAAACAAACCUCACACAGGCGACUAACUGGGAAAGACAAAAGCGAGCGGCUGCCUCUCUGAACUGAGGGUAAGGCAAAGCUUAUAGAGGAUUUCUUAGAGGCUGAGAUUUCCCGGGCAGGGAUUGGUAGGAUUUCAGGUCUUGAACUUGAGAAGCUCAGGGAUUGGUGGAUUUUUGAGCUUAGGGAUUGGUGGGUCUUCAAAACCCGGAACUGAUCUCGGACUUUUUACCUUACCUUCAGCGAGGGAUACCAGAUUCCCCCCCCCAGAGGCUAUGCUCAGAGAAGGCUGUUAAGGGAGGGGAAAGAAAGGCACUUGGAACCCUGAAUCAAGAUCAGCUGGUCUAGGUCGGCUUUCCUGUCUGUCUGAGUACAAGCAGUAGUGUUGCAGAGAGGAAGGUGGACAUAUCAGAGCAGCCUUAGGAAACGUGAACAUUCAGAGGAGUGAAUUUAGCUGGAUGGUUGGUGGUACGCCUUUAAUCCCAGCACUUGGGAAGCAGAGGUAGGCAGAUCUCUGAGUUUGAGGCCAUCCUGGUCUACAGUGUGAGUUCCAGGACAGCCAGGUUUCUCUACACGGAGAAACCCUGUCUCAAAAAAGACAAAACAAAAGGGGUGAAUUGAGAAUUGGCAAGUAUCAGCUUCGGAGAUAUGGAAAAUUUCCCAAAUCGGGGUCACCUUCAGGGUAGAGGUCUAGUUCAGGUAGUAGAAGGCCUUCCUAUCAUAAGGACGAGGCCCUGGAGUGAUCCCUGGCAACUUGCAAAACUGGGUAUUAUGGCAUACAACUGUCACCUUAGCACUUGGAAAGGUAGAGACAGGAGGAGGUGUUCUUGAACUUCGCACAAGCUACAUAGUAAUUUCCAGCCUGUUCUGGAAUGCAUAAGACCCCCAUCUCAAAAUCUAAAUUCCCCAAAAUUACCCUCUGACCUCCACAUGAGCCUGAAAACACAGGCCUGCAUUCAGUCAAUUACAUUGGUUCAUUCAUUCACGAGUGCACAUGCACAAGAGCAUACGCACAAUGAAUAGAACUAAGGAUACUUAUAAUAACCAAAUAAAUAAAUUUCCUCUUCCAAUUACUUAAACUAAUCAGUGAGAAAACCUGCCUCUUCCCUCUCUCCUGUCUCCCUCCUCCCUCCCUGUUUUCUUCCUCCCUCCUUGUCUCCCUCUCCUGUCUCCCUCCUCCUGUCUCCCUCCUCCCUCCCUCCGUCUCCCUCCCUUCCUCUCUACCUCCUUUCCUCCCUCUGCACCCUCUCCCUCUUACCUUCCCUUCUCCUUGGAAGCAGGCCAUACCAGUGAGAAUUUUAUUAUCAUUAAAAAAUGCAUAUGUACAGGUGCUUUGCCUGCAUGAAAGUCAGUGCACCAUGUGUGCUUGGUGACUGGAGCCCAGAAGAGAUCAUGAGAUGGCCCAGUACCAGUAUUACAGACCAUUGUGACCCACCGUGUUUAUGACAGAAACAAAAACCAGGCCCUCGGGAAAAGCAGCCAGUGUUCUCUACCCCAGAGACUUUUAAUAAUCACUGUAACUGAUGAGCUUGCCCGUGCCUUAAACCCAGAUAUACCUGAAGUACACUUUAUUAAUACUUAAAACUGCCAGGCAGGACUAACGUCAUCUAGCAGUGUCACCGAGGAGGCAGAGGCACCAGGUCCACUGAGAACCUGGAACUCUGAGUAGAGAUGGUGAGUGAAUGAAGACUGGACACAGCAGGCAAGCAGAGAUCAGGUGGGAGUAUGUUCUGAAAUGGAGACACCCAGAGGGAACCUACGACCUGCUCAGUGGUUUGUUAGUAAGCCUCAGUGUGCAAACAUCCCAGAGGAGGAAGCUGUAAUUAGGUACCAGUUGUAUACACUGGUUACUCACAUCCACUCAGACGCUUUAGGGAACCUUUGACAUCUCUCUUCAGCCUAGACUCUAUGGGUAAAGCUUUGUCAGUGUUCUAUGGGCCCCAGGCUUAGAGCAUUCCACGUGGCCGUGCCGGUGUCAACAAUACACAUUCACUCAAGGCUUCCUCCUCUCCCUACACAGAGGCAGGUGAAUCUCUGCAUUCAAGGCCAGUUUGGUCUAUAAACUGAGUUCCAGGCCACCCAGGGGUCCACUGAGACCUUGUCUUAAAAGGGGUGGGGGAUGGAGAGAUGGCUCAACAGUUAAGAGUACAAGCUGCUCUUCCCUAGGUCCUGAGUUCGAUUCCCAGCAACCACAUGAUGGCUCACAACCAUGUGUAAUGGGCUUUGAUGCCCUCUUGUAGCAUUUGGGCAUACAUGUGGAUAGAUCGCUCAUAUAUAUAAAAUAAAUAAAUCUUUUGUGAGAGAGAAAAGUAGGGUGGCCUGGUGUCGUGGAGAAAAGUAGGGUGGCCUGGUGUCGUGGCACAAGGCUUUAAUCCUUUCAUUUGCAGGCAGAUCUAGGGUAAGUUCUAGAAUAGCCUGGUCUAGAUAGCAAGUUCCAAGCCAGCAAGACCUUCCAUACUGAAUCUCUGUGUCAAAACACAGAGGACUGGAGAUGUAUCUCAAUUGGCAGAGUGCUUGUUUUGCAUACUCAGAUUCCUGGGUUUAGUGCUAAAUGCCACAUAAAAACAAGGUGAGCUGAGUGGUGGUGCAUGCCUUCCGUCCCAGCAUUCGAGAGGCAGAGGCAGGCAGAUCUCCGAGUUCAAGGCCAGCCUGGUCUACAGCUCCAGUUCCAGGAUAGGCAGGGCUACACAGGCAAGCCCUAUCUCAGAAAAAGAGAAAGAGACACACAAGGUGAUGUAGACCUGUGAUCCCAGCACUCAGGAGGCAGAUGGCCAGGGAAUUCCAGUCCAGUCAGGACUACAAAGUCUUAACUCAAAACAAACAAAACCAAAAUUGCCCUCUAAGCAUUUACACCCCGUGCUUGGUAUUAGCAUAAUAAAAAAUCUCAAAACAAAGGUCAGAGGCGUUAUUUGUAAGUUACUGUGGGUAUUUCAAAAGUACAAUCUUUGGCUAACACUCCGAGAUGACAGAAAUAGACAGUUUCGUCAGUGCCUGAUUAAAACGGAAAAGCUGAAGGUUUUCCAAAAGGAAACAAGAGGAGGCGAGGAGUCUAGACUGACCACUCAGAAGUGUGUGUGUGAUAACAAGCAUCGGUGGGUGGAGCCUUUGUGUGAAUAAUGUCUGUGUCUGGAUGUGGCUAGUGGGCUUCUUAGCAGCCCAGCAGCUCGUGACCUGUGACUAGGAGGCUUUUCCCAGUGGACAAGUGCACAGUCAGAAACUGCCUGGAGCAGCUGCCUCCCGUGACUCUGCCUGUACCCAAACAGUAAGAGUGCGUCAUGCCUGAUGCAUUGCCAGGCAAUGCAAUGUAUCUGGGUGUGUCCCUUAAGGCUCUCUUCAGUUCAGUAGCUUAUGCAUAGCCUGCUUUGCCGGUGUUCCUGGCUGGCAAGGUUCUCAUGAAGUAAUGAGCUCUCUAAUUCACUCCUCCCGCUCUCCUCUUUCCCUGACCGUACUAAGUAAGGAUCGAAGCCAAGGUCUUUCGCUCGCUGGGUAGGCAAGUACACUACACCACGAGCCACACCCCCAGCCUGUGACAGCUCUCCCCUGGUUUUAGCGUGCAAGACUUGUAUUCUCUUACAAUGCUACAACUGGAAGUUUCCAUUUAGCCACGGAAGCGAGUCCUCCUUGAACCUGAAAGUGACCAUGGAGGACUCUAGUCACCCCUGCCUGCGAUUGACUUUAGAGAAAAUAACUUAUCCUCACAAGGUGCCUGGGUGAGGGAGUGCCACUCAACCUUUCCUUUGAAAUUGUUACCCAAAGGAGGAUUUCUUUGCUUCGACACCAUGUCUGGUAAUUUUUGUUCCGUUUUUAGGAAUUUUAAAACUUUGGACUAUGAGAGACCCAUAUGAAAUAGCUAGAAAACGUUCUAAUGUUCUCUGGGAGUUUUGUUCCGUGUCGAUUUUUGUUGUUUAUUUUUGUACACACUUGUUUAUUUAAUGUGUAUGUUUUGCCUGCACUGUCCAAAGAAACCAGAAGAGGGCAUCGGAUCCCCUGGAACAGGAGUUCCGGACUGUUGGGAGCUACUAGGUGUAAAGAUUCAAACCUGGGUUCUCCUGGAAGAGCAGCAAGUGCUCUUAUCCACCGAACCAUCUCUCCAGACCACCAUUUUGAUUUUAAUAUCAGCCUUGGCUAUGUAACCAGUUUGGGGCCUGAAGGGCCUACAUGAGAUCUUGUCUCAAAUAAAUUGUCUUGGGGUGGGUGGGUGGGGGGUGCAGUUCAGUGUUGGUGGAUUCGUCCUAAGCUGGAUACUCAGCAUUAAGAAGACAAAAAAUGGGGUUCAGCAAAUUGGCUACCUAGUAAAGGAAUAAACCGCCAUGCCUGACCACCCGAGUUUGAUUGAUCCCAGGGACAGACAUGUUAGGAGGAGAGAAAGGUGGACUGUGGCACUUGCCUAUCCCCCUUACGUAAAAUGCAUCUUUAAAAAAAAAACUUAAAUGCAGAUGUGAAAAGAGGGGUUCGGGUACGGGGGCUGGUUGUGGGUCUCGGGCGUCUCCGCCGGCUGCACACCAUGUUUCGGUUGGUCUCUCCAGGUCCCUCCUAGCAGGGCGGCGCUGCGGGGAAAUUCCAGAGGGCAGCUCCUCCACCGCGGAGAGAUCUCAUUUCCUAGGGAGGCGGCCGCUGAGCACCGCCUCCAUCUAGGCCAGGCAGCCUGAGCUGCUGCCACACCCGGGCUCCUAGGAUAAAUUUAGCUCUUCUAUUCCGGUCUCUGCCCGGCCCUUGCCCUGGAGCCAAUCAGUGGAAGUAGAAAGAAAUGGGAGAAGAGAUCACAGCCUGAAAGCCCCAUCACCCUCACAAUCUUGUAUGUUUGUGCAUUGUGUGCAUUCCUGGUGCCCCAAGAAGUCAGAAGAGGGCAACAGAUCCCCUGGAACUGCAGGGUUGUAAGCCACCAUGCAGGUACUGGGAAUUAAACCUGGUUUUUCCAGACAGGGUUUCUUGAAACCCUAGCUCUCCCAGAGCUCAUUCUGUAGACCAGACUAGCCUCAGACUCUCAGACUCAGAUCCACUUGCCUCUGCCUCCCUAGUGCUGGGAUUAGGUAUGUGCCGCCAGCACCUGGCUUUUUUUUUUUUUUUUUUUUUUUUUUUUUUUUUUUUUGAGAAAGAGGUCUGUAAGGAGCAGAUGGAUCUCAGAUUUGAGGCCAGACUGGUUUACAAAUUGAGUUCAGGACAGCCAGGGCUGCUACAUAUAGAAACUCUGUCUCGGUUGGGGAUUUAGCUCAGUGGUUAGAGUGCUUGCCUAGGAAGCGCAAUGCCCUGGGUUCGGUCCCCAGCUCUGAAAAAAAAAAAAAAAAAAAAAAGAACCAAAAAAAAAGAAACUCUGUCUCAAAAACCAACCAACCAAAAAAGAGAAGGCAUGAGCUUUUAAUCAGCAUGGGGAGGCAAAGGCAAGUAGAUUUCUGUGGGUUCCACUAGCCCCCUCUACAGCAUGAGUUCCAGGCCAGCCAGAACUACAUAGACUCUGUGUGUGUGUGUGUGUGUGUGUGUGUGUGUGUGUGUGUGUGUGUACUGUAGAGAGCUGGAAAGAGCACUGACUGCUCUUCCAGAGGUCCUGAGUUCAAUUCCCAGCAACCACAUGGUGGCUCAGCGACGAGUACACUGUCGCUGUCUUCAGAAACACGGGAAGAAGGCAUCAGGUCCCAUUACAGAUGGUUGUGAGCCACCAUGUGGUUGCUGGGAAUUGAAUUCAGGACCUCUGAGCUCUUAACCACUGAGCCAUUUCUCCAGCCCAUAAAUAAAUCUUUUUUAAAAAAUGUAGAAAAAGAAAAAGGUGUGUGUCUCUGUGUACACACCCAAGUCCUCCUCCUCUUCUUUUUUUUUUUAAAAAAAGAUUUAUUUAUUUUAUAUAUAAGUACACCAUAGCUGUCUUUAGACAUACCAGAAGAGGACAUCUGAUCCCAUUACAGUGGUUGUGAGCCACCAUGUGGUUGCUGGGAUUUGAACUCAGGACCUCUGGAAGAGCAGGCAGUACUCUUAACCACUGAGCCAUCUCUCCAGUCCCCUCUUCUUCUAUGGGGGCCCAAGAAUCGAAUUCAGCCGGGCAACAGGCACCUUUAUCUAUUGAAUCAUCUUGCUGGCUCCCAGGAUUUGUUCUUCAACACCAGAGAAAAGUUCUGAGGGCUCUUGGAGAAGGGGAAUGAGGAAACACCCCCAAAAGCCUGGGCAGAACAUGGUGGCCUACGCCUUUCAGGAAGAUGAAGUGAUAUGGAAUGUUGGCUAGAGACCUUGAAGCUAUGCAGUCAGGGCUAAUGGCCACCAGCUUCCCCAGCAGCCCACCUGUGACACUUUCUUCAUCCCUCCACCAGCUGUCACAAAGAGGCUGUGGUAUAUCCUCCAAGACUAAAGCAAGACUGAAUCCUCAAGACUCAAGUGUGUCCUGAGCCACACUGAGGCGAGGAGCCCUCUGCUCUGCUCCCCACAACCUGCCCCAGGAGACUCACUCUCAGUGGUCCAUUGUGGUUGUUUUGACCACGGGCACAGCUGCAGCUUUAACUGCCGGUCUCUUUAAAUUGUGUUUCUUUGUUUUUCUUUAAGACAUUGUUUUUUAUGUGUGUGUGUAUUGUUAUGCGUUUCUGGGCACUAUGAGUGUGUGCAGGUGCCCACAGAAGUCAGAGGGCCUAGGGAACCCUGGAGCUGGAGGCCCUCUGUAAGAACAGUAGCACUCUUACCUUCUGAGCUACCUUUCCAGCUCUUGUUUAUUAAUGGAGCCUUGACUGGCCUGGAACUCACUACGUAGAUAAAGCUGAAGCUGGCCUUGAACUCAGUGCCAAUGCCUUGCCUCCUGAUUGCUGGGAUUUGUGUGUCACUAUCAUAUAUAUAUAUAUAUAUAUAUAUAUAUAUAUAUAUAUAUAUAUAUGACAUAGUUUUAUAUAGCCCAGAUUGGCUGCGGACUUGCUUGUUAUGUAAUGGAGGGUGGCCCUGAACCACUUUUCCUCCUAUCCCUAGAUCCUGGAUUAGAGGAACGUGAUAGCAUACCCUGAGAACUUUCAGUUUCAACCAAGUGUCUUAGGAGUGUUCAUUCUACCUGUGGCAUCUCAGGCUGGAAUGAAGAGUGGGCAGGCCCAGGCCUUUCUGGGUGGGCCCUUUAAAGGGGCUGAGAUUCUAGUUAAAGGCAAAUAAAGCUAGGGUACACCCUUGCCUAACCUCCCCAGCAGGCAAGACCUAGCUUAAGGGCUCUUCCCACCUCCCAACUAUGACCCGCAAUUGGAUAAUCUGUAGGUACCGGACUUUGGUUGUUGGAGGCCCCUUAGGGUACCAGGCAAUUCUGAGCAGUGGUUGCCCUCCCACCUAGCUGUACAGGUAUGGUGUAGCUUGCACACAUGGCUCCAGGUAACUGCUGACUGACCCCAGCAGAGGAACAACCCCCACCAGUGAUUGGUAAAUGACACGUAUGGCCUGACACUCUUGUUCCCCUGCGAUUUUUUAGUUCAAGUCACAUGUCUCACUCUUGCCCAUAGUUUGGAGUCAGACCCUAAUGCUUUCUUGAACAGAUUCAGAGCCCCACAGGAUUACUUGAACCCAUGGACAAGGACAAGUGGAGGGUGAGGGCCACAGAGUCUUCCUGGGAGAGACUUGGGACCUUGGCCCAGAGAAGCUGUCCUCCAUGGAAAACCAGCCAGCUAGGGAGCCAGCAGACCUCAGCCUAGGCCUGGUUUAAGCGGGAGCCUCAGGCAGGGUCCUGGGGAGGUGGGGGAACAUUAUUGGCUCCCAUGGUAGGUUCAUUGUGACAGCAGAAGCCCCAGAAACCAUCAAGGGCAGUGCAAGGCAGUAGAAAAGAAUGUUUGAAGAGGCCACAAGAGAAUAACUUCCCAGACACUUAGGCCCCUUGCAAGGCUUCUUUGGACCAAGGCCUGCCCUGGGAAAGGAUGGCUGGUUCAAUCCAUUUCUGGGAGGACACCAAACUCAGCCCCCACACUAUUGGCUGCAGGCGCCAUGCUAUCUAAAUCAGAGCCCACACUAGACCAUAGGCUUCUGGGCUGUAUCCUGUGUCCCCAGCCCUGGAGACAAGUUCCCUCUGCUGUCUCUGAAGUAGUCACUAUCUUCCCCUAGCUACUCUUGCUCAAGGAAAGGCGUGUAGUUCAGGCCAGGGACUCAAAGGACUACUGGAUUUUCUGACUCCCCAACACCUGCAUGCUCAGAGGCAGGCUGCCUGAGUUCCAAAAGGACCCCAUAUAGACUCCCAAAGCCAGGGUUGAAGUUGGGCUCCGGUUCUAACUGUCAGAGUGAAGAUAGUUAAUGUGUAACUUUUCCAUUCUGAAAGAGCAAGCUGUCUGAGCUGGGUUUGGCGGGAAGGACCAGUUCAGAGCCUGGGUGUGAAAUGCAAAUGUAGCCUCAUAUGUAAAUCCCUAUGGGUUCCUUCUUUUCUGACAAGGUCCAGCCACACCCAGAUGCUCAAACUAGUACCUAACGACCUGAUAUGAGAGUGUCCUUCCUCAGUAGAGGGCUAGGCUCGGGGCACUGACCUUCAGGGAACACAUCUCCUCUUUUAAGUUCAGGCCGGUUCCCUGCUCAAUGAAAUUCACAUGGGUCCCAUGUCACCUUAGCCUGAGAGAAAGACUGUCAGUCUGAGGUGUAGCUGGCUCUGUGGGUAGGGGAGCUGACUGGCACCCUCUCUAAUGGGAACAAUACAGAUGCAGGCAGGGUGUUAAAGACUAAGUCUAUAGGGCUCUUAUUUAUUUAUUGCAGGAAAUUUAUUUAUUGCAGGAAAUACCCUGGAGCAGGAGGGAGUCAAGCUUAGGACUCAGCUUCAAAGAUGCUAGACAGAGUUACACCAGCACUGGGUCAGGCAGUCAGGCAGCUGGGCCACUGAGGCCCUGGGGAGCCCCAGAUGUUGUCCCUUUCGGCUGGCUGCUUCCUAAAGGGUUAGUAGAAACACCAGAGGGGUUGAGAGGAGGAGCAAGGGGCUCCCCUGGGGUUCACUGUGGAACAGCCAGGGAAGGCUGAACCAUCUGUUCCCCAGGCUUCAGAAACAAAGUGGGCCAGGCAAGGGGCUCCCAAGUACCAGCUAGCAACACCACCUUUGUCCUGUGCUUACAGAGGUAGCUACUUCCCAAGGGGAUGGAGGAAGAGAUGGCCUCAGAGCUCCGGUGCAGAGGAACCUCAGGAGAAGUCUGGGAGUGUGUGAAUAGAUGAGGAACAAGCUCUGGGCCGAUGGGAAGAAGAGGAAACCCAAGACACUCUACCACCAAAAAGGUCCCCAUCUCAGUGCCCCACUGCUGGGUCUCUGCCUCUGGAUGGUUCUCCCCCCCCCCCCCCCCCCCCGGAGCUGGGACCAAACCCAGGGCCUUGCGCUUGCUAGGCAAGCGCUCUACCACUGAGCUGGAUGGCUCUAAGAACCCACAGUGGAGAAGGCAGGUUGUAACAGACCCCUUCAGGCAGGGCUGGUGAUGUUGAGCUCUGUUCUGGCCCUCUAUCAUCUCCACUCAAGGACAUCUGAUUCUAACCUCCAUGCUGCGUGAUGCUUGUCACCAACCUGCAGCCAGCCAUCCAGCUACCUCUUGUGUUGAGUAAUAGAGGUAACCCCCACUUGCCUCAGUACCUUCUCUCAUAGACACCCCAUGAAGGGGACGUCAGACACUAUUUGUUCUCCACUCUUUUUUUUUUUUUUUUUUUUUUUUGAAAUCAUGUUUAGGAUGGAGCCCAGGACCUGGCACAUGCUAGGCAAGCCCUCUACCACUUACUACAUCUUUAGCCUUUCCUCUCUGCCUAGGUCCUUUUGUUUUGUUUUGUUUUGACCUGUUCUUCCAGGCCCAGCUUAUAUGGUGCUAAGGAGUCAAACCCAGACUUUCAUUUAAACACUUUACCAACUGAACUGUAUCCCCGGGUCUCUACCUAGGACUUUUGAGACGGGAUCUAGUGGUUCCUCCACCCAUUUUAAUGGCAGUACAAGGUGGAAUCUGAGGGUCCCAGUCUCAUGUCUCAGUGAAUUUCUCUUCCUAGGCCACAGGUGGACCCAUUUGGAGGUGCCUGCUGCAUGCUCUUUGUGAUGCCAGGCUCCCAAGAAAGUCAUUCUUCCCAGCCCCAGUUCACGCUAGGUGUCCUCGUUCAGAAUCCUAUGUCCUAAGGGUGGGGUGCUGACAACAGAUGGAUUGCUGUUUCCAUACACCCCUUUCCCACUCCUCAGACUGAAGGGGACAGAGGGCUCCCCCAGGUGGCCAAAUAUGCCAAGGCUGCAAGCUGGAGAGAACUUGCUUCAAACUUCUGGUCCCUUCACUUCCCCAAGUAGGUGGGCUUACCCAGAGCAGGAAGUUCAGUUUGGAUAUUAGGAAGUCAGGUCUGUGUGUUUGUUGUCUGCAUGGAGCAAAGGAGGCAGCAGCUCAGGAAUUGUACAUUAUUCUUAGACUAGGGAAACAGCUGCCAGUCCCCAAACUGCAGGAAUUGGUCUGAUAUGUGGCCAUGGGUCACACGACACAGAGACUGAGGCACGGGAAGCACAGGACAGAGCCCAGUAAGAACAGCCACACUCAAUCCAAGACUCUCAUCCUCCAUUUUAAUGGUUUUUUUUCUUUUUUUGUGUGGGGAUUAAGCCCCAGUUCUCACACAUGCUAGGCAAGCGCUCUACCACUGAGCUAAAUCCCCAACCCCUCUUUUUUUAUUUUUAAAUAGGGUCUCAUGCUAUAGCCUAGGCUGACCUGGGCUGUAAUUCACUUUGUAUCCCAAGCUUACCUUGGACUCGAGAUCCUCUUACUUCAGCCUCCCAAGAGCUGGGAUUACAGGCAUGUACCACACCUGGUUCAAUUUCCAGGCAAUGCGUGCUCUGAUUUCUCUGGCUAGCAAGCGAGGCAACAGGUAAGAGCAGCUGAACUCCUUGUCUAAAUCACAGCAUCCCAGAACCUGGCUCACACUUCUUUCGUGGCUGCUUACGAUCAAUCACAGGAAAACAGCAGACUAGAUAACCAGAAGACUGGUAAGAUGUCUAAACUCAUAAAUAAGGGCCUAUGACUUGAACUCCUUAUCCUGGGAGAAUGCCCAGCAGGUGCCCAGGAAGAAUAGACUGUGAACAAUGACAGGCUAGUCGCAUCUAACACAUGCUCACUACAGACCUGUGAGGGUAAGGGAGAAAGCCAGCCUCCCUCUGUCACCAGCAGGAUGUGUGCAAGAAGAUUUAGGACUUAGGUGUUGGUCUUUCUAGAUCCCCUAGAACCAUUCAGAUCUAUGCCAGUGACAGGCUUGCAGUCUGCAUUCAGCUUACUGACAGAGUAAGCCUCAGAAUUCUCAGACCCAGGUUCCUGCCUGGUAAUAGUCUCAGAGGCUGGGGACAGACGCACGGAUGCUAGCUUGAUCACACACAGCUCCACCCACAUGAACAUCUUCUGAAGGCGGAAUCUGCUGCCGCCAUCUGUUCCAUGCAGACACAGUUGAACACUUGGCCUUCUGUGCACGGGGAACAGUUCACACAAGUACAUAUGUGCACAAGUGUGUCUGAGACAGAGAGAGAGAGAGAGAGAGAGAGAGAGAGAGAGAGAGAGAGAGAGAGAGAUCUUGGUGAAAGGGGAGCUGAAAAGCCAUGCUGGUCCAAGUUCCUGUAGGGCCACAGCUCUGGAAUUUUCCUCCUCCUGAGUUGCAUUCUGCUGCUGCUGGGUAACCUCCCACUUUCCCUAACCCUGAGACUGUCUUCUGAACUCAGUCUGAAGAUUACUAAGGCCUGCAAUGUCCAUGAUGACCACCAGGGGGCGGGUGAGCAUUGGAAAAAUCCUGUCAGUCCGUCCUUCCAAAAACCUUACUCCACUAGACCAGUUCUAAAAGCGCACUAAUGCCAAUUGCCAAUUUUGUGACAGAGAAGAAAGGUGGAGGAGGGGACUGGAGGGGAGAAGAUGGCUAGGAUGCUAAAGGAAGCACAUACCUACAGACUGGAGACAUUGACAGAUUUGGGGCCUUAACUUUUGGUAUUUUGAAAUAGUCUUUAGUCUAUCCUGGCUUCAAGGAUGGCCUUGAACUCCUGGUCCUCUGGUCUCUACCUCCUAAGUUCUUGGAUCGCAGGAGUGCACCUCAGCUCAGAGCAUUUUAUCGGAGAAGGGACAAGAUCUAGUUUUGAUUUCAUCCUGGCUACAGCACUGGAUGCUCAAGACAUGGUUCAAUAAGGAUCACCAUGGUACCUGGGAGAAGACAGAUUUGAGAAGCAGAAGGACGCAAACUGGAGGGUCUGGGGGGACGGGUGUUUCUGCCAGAGCUUGGAGUGCGAAGAAGAGAGCUGCGGAUGGGAUAGGGACCUGAUGUGUGCAGCUUUUAGACCUGUCCUCAGAUUACCCAGAAGAGGAGCCAAUCCUUCCCAGGGCUGAAGCAGUCCCUUUCUUCUGCCCCACCUAAACAGCCUGGAACUGGUGUGAGAAGAGGAACCCAAACCCUGGCUUCCUUCUGUUAGGGUUGAGGGGCUCAGGGAUUAUUCACAAGACUUGGCUUAGUUCUUACUGGACUCUCUGAUAAGGUCUGGCACCCUUUCCCUGAGAAAGGUCAGGCUCUGAGGCCCACCCUGGGUGGCUGCUGAACCACUCCUAGCAUGCGUCUGGGCUCUGCUAACAUAUGCACACUUGAGCACAUGCAGGCUUUCCUGUAACAAAGAUUCCUCCUCGGGAUCCCAUUUAAUCCUCACAGCAGCCUGGAACACAGCUCAUUCUCUCAACUGAAGAACCACAGCUUAAGGGGCUUGUGUGUGCUCUUUACCCCUACGUACAUCUAACGCAUGGGGUAGCCCUCUCCUGGGGUUUAAAAGAAGCUUUUUUUUCUUAACAAAUAUUUACACACAUGCAUCCACCACAGAGACCGUGUUCAGAAGACAAUUUGUGAGGCAGCUCUCUAAUUUCAUUAUAUGAGUGAGGAUCUAACUUACCAAUUUAAGUCUCCCUGGCCUUCUACAAGGAGUUUUGGUACAAAGUUCCUCCCCCACUGACCUCCACCCUGCAUCAGGCCCAUGGUGGCCAGAUUGCGGAGAAACUGCCUGCCUCCAGUGGAUUUUGAUCCCUGUGCAAGUGGAAUCUAGAGGUUGGUUAAGAGUCACCAACCCUGGGGCUGGGGAUUUAGCUCAGUGGUAGAGCGCUUACCUAGGAAGCGCAAGGCCCUGGGUUCCGUCCCCAGCUCCGAAAAAAAGAACCAAAAAAAAAAAAAAAAAAAGAGUCACCAACCCUGCAAGGUACCCCCGACCCGAAUGCAGCUUUAGGUUCCUACCGGGAGGGGGGGCGGUGUUCAGGGAGGAGAGGGGAACAAGCAAGACCGGGCCCUAGGCCUCCUGAAGGAUGGGGGUGGAGUGGGACGUGCCUGGGCAGACGAAGUGGGGACAAAGAGGGCCCCAGCACACCUGGCGGCCUGCGGCCCGCGCCCGCCAACCCAGAUUCAAAGUGGAGCAGAGGCUGUGAUUGGUGGCCCGGCCCCGAGCCCCACCCCUCUCACCUCUUAAGCAUCUGGGAAAGGGGAACCUUGUUGAGAAAGGCUCUUCCUCGUGUUCUUAACCACCCUGCCUUGGCCUGGCUAGUAAAUGAACCUAGUUCGCUCUUCCUCGUGCCACAAACCUGGCUGGGCUUCUGGGGUUAGAGCUCCAGCACUACUCUUGGAGUUACAGGGCCAUCCAAUCAGGCUUCCCUGACAUGACUUCCAGACUGUGACCUCUUCCACUCCCUCGUCUUUCCCUGGCCCUCACUCUUCAAAUGAUCCCUGUUCUCUGGCCCUUCUCCCAGUUCAGCCACCACCCUCAGGAUAGCUCCCGGGACCCGGUUUCUUUCCACGCGUGCACCCUGACACUAGAUUGGCCGUCGAGCUUCCCCAGGGGGCGGUGUCUGGGACUCGCUACAGGAGUCCUGACGCCCCCCACAUGCAGCCGGGAGGAGGGCGGGUAGUUCGGUGCGUAGCUCCCCAGGCACAGCAGGGAUGCAAACCCAGAGCCUGGGCAGGCGCCCUCGCGGGUGCAGAUGGCCGCCUGCCGAGCAGGUCGCCACAGGGGGGUCUGGGGAGUUGCUAGGGGCUCAGAUUUCGGCCUUGAGGGGCGGGGCUCGUGCCAAUGUCUCAACCAAUCCUGUCUCGGCCCAGACUCCCCAGCAGCCGCCAAUCACCGUUCGGCCAACCUCCUGCCCGCCGCGUCCUUUGUUCCCGCUGGCCCUGUGGCCGCCGCGGGUCUCCGGCCUUAUGACUUCCGCCCGCGCGGACCAAGCCUUGUGCGGCGUAGCUGGGCCCGCUAGGGGGCCUUUUGGUCUCGCCGCCUGUUGGUGUCCUUGCACACAGUCUCAACUGCCCCGAGUGGUUCCGGAGGGUCUGGACAAAGCGUUUUGGGAGGCGGUCUUUAGAUUGAGUUGGGGAAGUAGGGUGGCGGCGGCACGGAGGAGCACGGGACCUGGGCAGAGGUCCAGCUCUGGCUCCACCUUUCCUUCCUCGCCCUCAGCUGCGCUGCCUAUGCUGCGGGGUUUUCCCCAUAGACAGCUUUCAUAUCCAUCCGCCUGCGAACUCUUGGCCGACUGUGGUGUGCAUCCUGUGACGUUUCUGGAAGUCGCAGGUGCCUUGCGCUGGUUUUCUUUUGUCCGAGAGUCUAGGGUAUCCUUAACCGUGACCCUCUCAGUUACCUUCACCUAGGGAUCACAGCUCAUGGCAAGGCCAAUCCAUAGUGGAGUCUCAUAGGGUUUCUAAAUCUCAACCUCCAACACCAUACUUAACACGUCACCGUCAGUCCUUGUUUCCUCCUGUGACUUGGUUCCUCUCUCACUGACUAAAUUGGAGGGGCUACAGUUUCUUACCUGCAAAAUGGGAUCGAUUACAGUGUUGCUGUCAACUUUAUUGCUUGUUUGAUUUUUGUUUUAUUGCUUGUUUGGUUUUUGGUUUUGGAGACAGGGGUUUCUGUGUGUAUCCCUGGCUGUCCUGGAACUCGCUCUGUAGACCAGGCUGGCCUCGAACUCCACCGGCCUCUGCCUCUCGAGUGCUGAGAUUAAAGAUGUGUGCUUUUUGUCUCCACACACCUUUUGACCCGGCCUCAUUCUGACUCCUGUCCUCUGCCGAACUGCUCCUUUUCAUCGGACCGCAGCACCUGGGUAUAGACAACCGGCUCCCGGCCGGCCGUAUAGCCCUGCCUUCCUUAACUGUUUUAACCCCAGGAGGGUAGAAUUACUUUUGUUGAAGCCUUUAACAGGGGUCUAGGGAGCAGCCGGUCAUCACGUGUUGGGCAUUGUGCACAGUCAGUACCGCAGACCCAGUGGCAGACUGGCUCUGUAAACAGGUUCUGCAAACAGGCGUAAGGGCGAGUGAUACCUGCCUAUUGCCUAUAGGCAAAUUACCUUUUUGACCGCUUUGGUUCCUGGCCAUCUCUGGUUCCUAUGGUAUCCCAGAUGAAUUAAUAUCACCAAAUUGAACGAAAACUUGGGACCAAGGACACCAGGGGCUGCCUCCCCUCCCCUUCAAGGAUUCCCCAGGGCUCAGCUUCUAAGUCAUCUUGGGGGGUGGAAUUGGAGGAGCCAGUUGGGAAGCAUUGCCGGAGAGGAGCAGGGAGGGCGGAGAGGUUGACAAAAGAGGCCAGCUGCUGUUUGUACACAAGCCCUAAAUUGAUAAUGAGUGAAGGGGUGGGGGAAGGGACAGGAUGAUGGCUUGGCUGGGGCCUCUGCCAGCUCAAAAGGCAGUCCAGGGUAUGACUGGCCCACUGCUGGCUCUCCUGCUCUGGCCUCUACUCUUGCCCAGUGCAUAAAUCUGCCCAAAACACAGUGCUAGAAGCUUGGGGCUGGGUGAUGGGUAAUGAGUAUCUGUAGCCAACGUGCUGAGACCUGAGAACAGCCAUAGAGCAUAAGGAAGGCCUCUGCCUCGAGGAACACAGGGUCCUUAAGAAGCUUGAGUGGACAAAAUGGACUGUCCCUGAAUAGAGAGGCUGGACGGAUGUCCCUAGAGGAGAGCCCUGGAAGAGUCUUCUAUCAGAGCCUCCUCUGGAGCAAAGGGGUAGAACUAGAGCUGGGGAGGCCAGGAGGCUCCUGCCAAUACUCAAGCUGACAGUAAUGCCAGGAAAGCCCUAUGGUGACCACUGGUAAGGGCAUAGAUAAGCAAGCAAAGGAAGGCUAGAAGGGCCUGGGGAAUGAGGAAUAGGAACCACACUGCUGUUGACUGCUUGCACAUGCAUAAUCCUGGAAAGAACUGUCUUGGAUCCCUGCUGUGCCAGUGUUCACUGGCCCUUAGGGUCAGCCUAUCUUGAUAAUAUACCCCAUGGGUAAAGAUCUGUCUCCUAACCACAGCCUCUCCCACCAUGUGGGCUGGAGGGCAUAGCAGACAAGCUGAGUGUAUGCGAGCAUGUGCUCCUAUAAGCAGUGCAUGUACACAAGUGUGUGCAUUCCAGCUGUCACAUGUGCUGGCUUGGCAAAGCCCCUCGGAGCUGGGAGCUGCUGGUGCCAGAAGGAGCUAGCUGGCAGCUCUCUGCAAGCCCCCUACCACCACGUCCUGUUCCCUUGGAUGCUGAGACUGAGCCAGCAACUGCUCCGGGAGAGAACAGCUUGGAGCAAGACUGCAACAGCAUGCAGGACUCUGGGGCCCUUAAGCUUCUGUCCUCAUUCCUAAGAAGCCAGCAAGCUUCUUGGGGAGCAGCAGGGAGGACACCCCACUGGGGGGCAGGAAGGAAUCCUGCAGAGCAGAGCACAGCCUUGGAAUGGGGGUUGGGAUGGAGCUGGGCAAAGGUGGGAGGGCAACUAGAGAAAGGGAAUUCAGUGAGGGAAUUCAGGCCUAACGCCAGGAGACAGAGAAGGAAGGAGAAGCAACCCAGUUGGUAGAGUGCUUGCCUAGCAUGCACAAAGCCCUGGGCUGGAUUCCAGUCCUACAUAAGCUACGUCUUUGGUGGUACAUGCCAAUAAUCCCAGUACCAAGAGGCAAAGAGCUCAAGCUACCAUAGUAAGGUUUGAGGCCAGCUUGGGCUACAUGAAACUCAAACAAAUAAAUACAUAAAUAAAAAGAGGGGCGGGUAGAGGAGGAGGAGGAUAGGGAGGAGAAGGAAACAUGAGGUUAGGCAGCUAAGGAGCCUUGGAUACCUCCACGAGUGUAUUCAUGAACUGCAGCAGGAAUUCACAGGCUUGAGGUCUGUGUACAUUCAUUACCCUGGAGUCAGUAGCAGCCCUUGAAGAUGCUGAACCAUGCAUGGAGAGCUAAUGGACAGGGCGGUAGAUUGACAGUAGACACAGUGCAGUACCAGGAGUUGAUUCCCUGUCUCCCCAGUUUGUUGGGAGGUUUGGAUGCUGUCCUUGGUGUGGUCAGAGGUAGGCACCAUAGCUUACCUCCUGUUCCUGGGCUAGGGAACAGUGGUGAGCAUUCUCUGGCUCUAGGUAGCAGAGGGAGGGCCUUGGCCUGAGCAAGUGUGAGAGGGCAGGAACAUGGGCAUCAGAGUUGAAGCAGGACAACUUAAGAACCUCCCAGUCCAAUGUGGCCAGGAGUUGAUACUCCACUGGUUCAGAAAACCCGAACUCUUCUUUCCCUCAUGCACGCGUGUGUAGAUGUGGCCCAUUUUUAGUGAGCUAGAAUCGAUCUAUAUGCAGAGAUCCUUCCCCUGGGUUCAGUUACUUGAGUAGAGGCCUUCAAGGGCACUGGGCUCUAGGCUGGAGAUUACCACGAAGAGCCUGGAGCUGGAGCCAAAGAAGAGGCCAGUCUGGUACCACCCGGUGAAAGGACCAGGCUGGCCCAGGCCCAGGGCCUUUCUCAGGCCACCCUCCCAAGUCCACAGAGGAGGCAUUGAUGGCAUAAGAGGCGGCAGAGGCUGUUGCAGCUGGCAUGACAUGAUCCCGCUCCCGUGCCUUGGGAGCAGGGGUUUGAAUGAAGCCCCAGGCCGUCAGUGGGAAGGAUCCAGGACGCUGGUGUGUUUGUCUGAGGUCACCACUGACCUCUCAACAUUUCAGGAUUAAGGAGUCUGUGUAUAGGAGAGGCAAGGUACCUGACAGGCAAGUUAGCUAAUCACAGUGGCAUAUACCUGUGACUCUUGAACAGUACGCUGAGGCAGGAGGAUUGAGAGUUUGAGGUCAACCUGGACUACUUAAGAGAGAGACCUUGUUUCAAAAAGCAAACAAGAUCCAAAUGAAGAGGGCACGAAGCAUCUCUUUCCUAGAACGUGGGUUCUGUGGGUCCCCAAAAUGGAAAUCCCUUUCUGCCCAGACUUCAGCCCACCUCUGGCCUUGCUAUCCACUUCUGGACCUCAUGCCUUGAGACCACGUAUUCUCACUUUCCCCCUCUUUCAGUUCUCUGUGUCCUGAACCCCAACACCCCUACUUUCUUGCUUCACUUGCCUCCUGUUCCAGGCCUUCUCUAUCCCUCAAGUCUGAGUUCAGGGUGGCUUUCCCCAAAGAGACUCUCUGGGUUCCUGCAGGUAGCCUUAGAGCCUUAGUGCACCGUGGCAUCAUAGCAUGAUGAAACUCCACGAUGGCUGUGCACAGUGAUAUGCAAGGGUUCCAGGAGCAAGUUUUUACCCCUUUUCUUUCUUUUUUCCUUCUUUUAUAUUUUAUUUAUUUAUUUAUUUAUUUAUUUAUUUAUUUAUUUUUGGUUCUUUUUUUUUCGGAGCUGGGGACCGAACCCAGGGCCUUGCGCUUCCUAGGCAAGCGCUCUACCACUGAGCUAAAUCCCCAACCCCUAUUUAUUAAUAUAUUAUGAGUACACUGUAGUGUGUCUUCAGACACACCAGAAGAGGGCAUCAGAUCUCAUUUCAAAUGGUUGUGAGCCACCAUGUGGUUGCUGGGAUUUGAACUCAGGACCUCGGGAAGAGCUGUCAGUGCUCUUAACCAUUGAGCCAUCUCUCCAGCCCUCUUUUUUCCUUCUUGAAGACAAGGUCUCACUAUACAGCUAACCUGGAACUCACUAUGUAGACCAUGCUGUCCUCAAACUCACAGAGAUCUACCUGCCCCUGCCUCCCAUGUGCUGGGACAAAAAAGUGUGUACCAUCACACCCAGCUUCCUCCCUUUUCCCACAAGACCCAAGUGAACUUGGGGAUGGCUCUGGGCAAUGCCACUUCUCCCAGUCUCCCUCCACUGCCUGUCCUACAGCCUCCCAACAAGCCCUGGAAGCUCUAGUUUAUGACCUCUCCCCCACCCAGGGCCAACCCAGGUGGACAGAUGUGGAUAUGAACACUCAAGAGAUGUGCAUUUGCGCAGACACAUGCAUAUAACACACGCACACUCAGACAAGAACAGAUGCAGACGUGCAUAUAAACAGUAAACACACCAGGCGGUGGUGGCACACACUUUAACCCCAGCACCUAGGAGGCAGAGUUCAAGACCAGAUCUCUGAGUUCAAGGCCAGCCUGUCUACAAAGUGAGUUCUAGGACAGCCAGGGCUACAAGAGAAAUCUUGUCUUAAAAACAACAACAACAACAACAACAACAACAACAACAACAACAACAACAACAAAACGGGACUGCAAACACAUCUGCACGACAAUGCAUGCAUACAUCACCUAUUAGUAAGCACAGAUAUGCACAUAGAGAUGCGCUCACUCAUGCACACACUGCCAUGCAUACCACACAGGCAUCCACACACCCACGGCAGACAAAGACCCAGUCACACGCGUGCGGGUAUACCACCUCCCCCAGCGGAGCACCCAGCCGGCCCUUCCUUGCCCCAAACUGCCACUUCCUCCCUCCAGGAGCUCCCAG